UUGAGGCACAUGAUGCACCUAUCUUAAUUACUAACCAACCCAUUGGGUUAGAAUCCACACUAGACCAUGAUACCAUUUUGGAUAGCAUUGUUACGUGUAUAAGACACAUUUUGUGUAGUCUAUUUAUUAAGACUACUUGGCUGCCAUAUGUGUGGUUGAAGUGUUUUUGGUAUCAUCUCUGAGAUGAGGUUGUGGGUGUGUUGAUUGGUGAGUAUCCAUGUUCCCUUCCCCUCUUGGUUCGCUUUUGGUUUUGUUGUUUGCAUAAAGUGGAGUGCUCCCAAGCAUGCCUAAUGCUCAUAAAUGAAGAGCAGCCUCUUCAAUUUGAUCAAAUGUAGCAUCCCGCCCAUAGGCAAUAUUAUCUCUCAUGCUCAAACUAAGUAAAGUGGGCUCCUGCGUGACUAGUCCUAUCUGGUUUCUAAGCCAUUCCAAUUUCAAGUUUUUUCUAUUUUCUCCAUCCAAAAGUACUUCCCCUGCACCAAAAAAGAAAAAAAGGAUUGAUGUGUGCAAGCAGAAAUUUAUCUCUAAAGGUCUUGGCUGAAUCUUAAAAAAUUUAAGGCCACAAAUAAACAUCAUACCUAAUGUAGGAUCAUAAAACUGCUCCAUAAGUGGGAUGAUACUGCUUUUUCCAGAUCCAUUUCUGCCAACAAGUGCCACUGCCUUCUUAGCAAGUACAGUGAGGUAAAAACCACUCAAAAUAGGGAUGUCGGGACGAGAAAGAUAACUGAAAUAUACAUUCCGAAACACAAUGUUUCCUUGAACAGAUGGAAGAGUAGUUCCCUCUUGAUUAACAGUAGAGGAUGACCGACUAAUCAUCUCAUAAAGUCUAUAAGCAGCGAUUCUCCCUUGAUCAAAUGAAUAGAAGUUUGUCGCUGCUUGAUUCAACCCACUACAGAUAGGAAGAAAACAAUGCACAAAAAAACAUCAGAAACAGUGAUUGUGCUCACGUGAAUAAAAGCUUACAAGGGAAAAGAAGGAGAUGCUUACAGGCCACUUAAAAUUACAUAUGUUUGAAUUAACUUACAUAUGACUAACGAGAUGAGUUUUGAAUAUAGUUCUUCCUUGUCCUAUUUAAAACUCCUAAUGAAACUUGUAGAAAAACAAUUCACAACCAUAGCAGUAAUCUUAUUCAUUUAUAUAUUUGUAUAAAAAAAUUCUACUUUAUUUUCAACGGAGACUGGUGAGCUUGAAGGAGUACAUGGUUGCGUGUGAUUUUUUUUUUUUAGUUCUCCAACAAGUGGGUAUAUACGGUUAUGUUAUCUUGUAGCUGCAUGAGCGAGAAGGGCUAGUGUUUUAGUGUCUUGCGCCAUAAGUUCUUUGACUAGAAAUAUUGUAUGAUGAUUAGUAGAUGAACAUGCUAGAGCUUUGAAGUCACAUAAAUCCAAAAUUUUGUUGAUUAUAUAUAUAUAAAUAUAUAUAAUAUGAAAGUCAUGAGCUAUAAAAAUUUUUGUCGUCUUUUUCUA